UACGGAGGGGCUAGCGUUGUUCGGAAUUACUGGGCGUAAAGCGCGCGUAGGCGGACCUGCAAGUCGGGGGUGAAAGCCCGAGGCUCAACCUCGGAACUGCCUUCGAUACUGCGGGUCUCGAGUCCGGAGAGGUGAGUGGAAUUCCUAGUGUAGAGGUGAAAUUCGUAGAUAUUAGGAAGAACACCAGUGGCGAAGGCGGCUA
rnacentral:rRNA from 1 species